CAGUCGCCACGGGAAUACAGAGGGUCCGAGCGUUAAUCGGAUUUACUGGGCGUAAAGCGUGCGUAGGCGGCUUUUUAAGUCGGAUGUGAAAUCCCUGAGCUUAACUUAGGAAUUGCAUUCGAUACUGGGAAGCUAGAGUAUGGGAGAGGAUGGUAGAAUUCCAGGUGUAGCGGUGAAAUGCGUAGAGAUCUGGAGGAAUACCGAUGGCGAAGGCAGCCAUCUGGCCUAAUACUGACGCUGAGGUACGAAAGCAUGGGGAGCAAACAGGAUUAGAUACCCCUGUAGUCCCUGUCUCUUAUAC
rnacentral:rRNA from 1 species